CAGAGCAACCUGGUUUUGAGUUCUUUGAAGCAAGCGCCAAAGACAACAUCAACGUGAAGCAGACGUUCGAGCGACUGGUGGACAUCAUCUGUGAGAGGAUGACAGAGACUCUGGACAACAAUGACCCAACGGUCAUUGGAGCCAAGCAGGGGCCACAGCUCAAUGAGCAGCCCCAAAGGUCUCACCAAGAUUGCGCUUGCUGAAUGCACACAUAAGCGCAUAUGCACACACCCACAUGCACGCACACACCGCUUAUCCUGAUUUUUCAAGUUUUUUUUUUUAGUCUGGAUCUUUUUGUAAUAUGCAGGUACAAAACGUCCCUGCACAUAAACACUGCCAUCCAUCCACAGCCCCACUCCAGGAGCAGAGUCUGCCCAGAGCCGGGCCUUCCAGGGGUUGUCCUUCUGCUCAGCAACAUUAUCUGACUCUUUCACACACUUCUUAAACACACUAAGCUGUAUGUUACCAGAUGUGCAACAGUUGUAAUUAUUGUCCCUCUGAAAAGGUGUUUGUUGCUGAAGUCGGUUCAUGUAGGCGUGUUUUAGAGGAUCUGAAAUCCUCUUUUUAGUGUUGUGGUGGACUUUUAGGGAGUUUUUGGACCCAAGUUCAAUGUUCAGGCACAGUUGUUCUUAAAUUAAGAAAUUAUUGAAUUCAUUUAAAUAUUUAUCUUCAAGACAUAUAUUUAUAAUAGAUCUCAAGUGUUUAAAAUGCAGGGUUUUGUGACUUAAAAAAAGGCCAUGAUAAAUUAUCUCAAAUUAUUUUUCUUUAUUAAUGAGACAUACAUCCUGUAUAAUCCAACUGAAAACAAAUCUGCUUUAGUAAAAGAAAAAAAAAAUAGAAAGGUGCAACAACCCAGAUGCAUAAAUUUUCACACCCUUAAGUUAAUAUUUUUCUGAAGCUUCUUGUGAUUCACUUUAAACAUUCAGUCAUCUUGGCUCUCCACAGCUUAGUUUAGGCCUCAUCCAAACAUGGCUAGAUAUCUGGGGGGAAAAAUACACUUUUUUCACAUUUUGGCUUUUCAUCCACACAAAACUGUUUAAUAUCACUAAAAACGAUUAUUUAUAGAAACUCCCAUCAUAAUAAGGAUAAUUUUACGAUUCUCCUUAUUGGUGUUUGUGUGUGUACAUUGGAAAACAGACAUUUACAAAUAAUGCGCCAAAUAUAUCCACAUACGAUUCCCAACUGAUAUAAUGUUGUAUUUUAAUAACCUGAUUAAAAGUAGUUCAACCUAUAUACGUUUCUAACCAAAUGAAACUACUGGCCAUAGACAUAAUAUAAGAGUAGACGCCACAUUGGCCGUAUUUCCAGCGCAGGAAAUACGGCAGCCAUCUUGGAGCGGUUGUCCCUCCUACUUUGCUCAACCAAAACAGCAGAAGAUGCCUCAGCACUGAGGGAUAUUGUUGUUCGGAUCGAUGGACUAAUGAUGUGAGGACUCGACAGACAACAUUUCACAAGUUUCCUAAAGACACGAUGUGAGGAAGAAGUGG